rfam:Lingula anatina scaffold806, whole genome shotgun sequence.
CUGUUCGUUUAAGGGGCUGUGAAAUGUUGAGUUGUUUUCAUAUCACAGCCCGCUUUGACGAGCUAGA